AACGCUAGCGGCGCGCUUAACACAUGCAAGUCGCGCGAUCGGACCGGACCUGAUUCCUUCGGGAUGACGGAUCGGUUACGGAGCGGCGGACUGGUGAGUAACGCGUAGCUAACCUCCCGUCGGGCGGAGGAUAACACCGGGAAACUGGUGCUAACACUCCAUAAUAUCAGGGAACCACAGGUACCCUGAUCAAAGAACCAUUUGGUACACCCGACGAUGGGGCUGCGUCCUAUUAGCUAGAUGGUGAGGUAAAGGCUCACCAUGGCGAAGAUAGGUAGGGGGCCUGAGAGGGCGAUCCCCCUCACUGGGACUGAGACACGGCCCAGACUCCUACGGGAGGCUGCAGUGGGGAAUCUUGCGCAAUGGUCGAAAGGCUGACGCAGCGACGCCGCGUGGAGGACGAAGGCCUUCGGGUUGUAAACUCCUUUUCUGGGGGACGAACAAGGUGGGUAGGCAAUGGUCCACCGAUGACGGUACCCCAGGAACAAGCGCCGGCUAACUAUGUGCCAGCAGCCGCGGUAAGACGAAGGGCGCAAGCGUUAUCCGGAGUUACUGGGCGUAAA
rnacentral:rRNA from 1 species